AGCAGCCGCGGUAAUUCCAGCUCCAAUAGCGUAUAUUAAAGUUGUUGCAGUUAAAAAGCUCGUAGUUGAAUUUCGGGGUUAGCAGGUCGGUCGUGCCAUCGGUAUGAACUGGUCUCGCUGAUCCCUCCCUCUUGACGAACUGUGAUGCCAUUAAUUUGGUGUCGCAGGGAAUCAGGACUGUUACUUUGAAAAAUUAGAGUGUUUAAAGCAGGCUCACGCUUGAAUACAUUAGCAUGGAAUAAUGAAAUAGGACGUUUGAUCCUAUUUUGUUGGCUUCUAGGAUUGACGUAAUGAUUAAUAGGGAUAGUUGGGGGCAUUAGUAUUCAAUUGUCAGAGGUGAAAUUCUUGGAUUUAUUGAAGACUAACUACUGCGAAAGCAUUUGCCAAGGAUGUUUUCAUUAAUCAAGAACGAAAGUUAGGGGAUCGAAGACGAUCAGAUACCGUCGUAGUCUUAACCAUAAACUAUGCCGACUAGGGAUCGGAUGAUGUUAAUCUUUUAAUGACUCU
rnacentral:rRNA from 1 species